rnacentral:rRNA from 1 species
CGGGACACGUGGUAUCCUGUCUGAAUAUGGGGGGACCAUCCUCCAAGGCUAAAUACUCCUGACUGACCGAUAGUGAACCAGUACCGUGAGGGAAAGGCGAAAAGAACCCCGGCGAGGGGAGUGAAAAAGAACCUGAAACCGUGUACGUACAAGCAGUGGGAGCCUCUUAAUGGGGUGACUGCGUACCUUUUGUAUAAUGGGUCAGCGACUUAUAUUCUGUAGCAAGGUUAACCGAAUAGGGGAGCCGAAGGGAAACCGAGUCUUAACUGGGCGUUAAGUUGCAGGGUAUAGACCCGAAACCCGGUGAUCUAGCCAUGGGCAGGUUGAAGGUUGGGUAACACUAACUGGAGGACCGAACCGACUAAUGUUGAAAAAUUAGCGGAUGACUUGUGGCUGGGGGUGAAAGGCCAAUCAAACCGGGAGAUAGCUGGUUCUCCCCGAAAGCUAUUUAGGUAGCGCCUCGUGAAUUCAUCUCCGGGGGUAGAGCACUGUUUCGGCAAGGGGGUCAUCCCGACUUACCAACCCGAUGCAAACUGCGAAUACCGGAGAAUGUUAUCACGGGAGACACACGGCGGGUGCUAACGUCCGUCGUGAAGAGGGAAACAACCCAGACCGCCAGCUAAGGUCCCAAAGUCAUGGUUAAGUGGGAAACGAUGUGGGAAGGCCCAGACAGCCAGGAUGUUGGCUUAGAAGCAGCCAUCAUUUAAAGAAAGCGUAAUAGCUCACUGGUCGAGUCGGCCUGCGCGGAAGAUGUAACGGGGCUAAACCAUGCACCGAAGCUGCGGCAGCGACACUAUGUGUUGUUGGGUAGGGGAGCGUUCUGUAAGCCUGUGAAGGUGGCCUGUGAGGGUUGCUGGAGGUAUCAGAAGUGCGAAUGCUGACAUAAGUAACGAUAAAGCGGGUGAAAAGCCCGCUCGCCGGAAGACCAAGGGUUCCUGUCCAACGUUAAUCGGGGCAGGGUGAGUCGACCCCUAAGGCGAGGCCGAAAGGCGUAGUCGAUGGGAAACAGGUUAAUAUUCCUGUACUUGGUGUUACUGCGAAGGGGGGACGGAGAAGGCUAUGUUGGCCGGGCGACGGUUGUCCCGGUUUAAGCGUGUAGGCUGGUUUUCCAGGCAAAUCCGGAAAACCAAGGCUGAGGCGUGAUGACGAGGCACUACGGUGCUGAAGCGACAAAUGCCCUGCUUCCAGGAAAAGCCUCUAAGCAUCAGGUAACAUCAAAUCGUACCCCAAACCGACACAGGUGGUCAGGUAGAGAAUACCAAGGCGCUUGAGAGAACUCGGGUGAAGGAACUAGGCAAAAUGGUGCCGUAACUUCGGGAGAAGGCACGCUGAUAUGUAGGUGAAGCGACUUGCUCGUGGAGCUGAAAUCAGUCGAAGAUACCAGCUGGCUGCAACUGUUUAUUAAAAACACAGCACUGUGCAAACACGAAAGUGGACGUAUACGGUGUGACGCCUGCCCGGUGCCGGAAGGUUAAUUGAUGGGGUUAGCGGCAACGCGAAGCUCUUGAUCGAAGCCCCGGUAAACGGCGGCCGUAACUAUAACGGUCCUAAGGUAGCGAAAUUCCUUGUCGGGUAAGUUCCGACCUGCACGAAUGGCGUAAUGAUGGCCAGGCUGUCUCCACCCGAGACUCAGUGAAAUUGAACUCGCUGUGAAGAUGCAGUGUACCCGCGGCAAGACGGAAAGACCCCGUGAACCUUUACUAUAGCUUGACACUGAACAUUGAGCCUUGAUGUGUAGGAUAGGUGGGAGGCUUUGAAGUGUGGACGCCAGUCUGCAUGGAGCCGACCUUGAAAUACCACCCUUUAAUGUUUGAUGUUCUAACGUUGGCCCGUAAUCCGGGUUGCGGACAGUGUCUGGUGGGUAGUUUGACUGGGGCGGUCUCCUCCUAAAGAGUAACGGAGGAGCACGAAGGUUGGCUAAUCCUGGUCGGACAUCAGGAGGUUAGUGCAAUGGCAUAAGCCAGCUUGACUGCGAGCGUGACGGCGCGAGCAGGUGCGAAAGCAGGUCAUAGUGAUCCGGUGGUUCUGAAUGGAAGGGCCAUCGCUCAACGGAUAAAAGGUACUCCGGGGAUAACAGGCUGAUACCGCCCAAGAGUUCAUAUCGACGGCGGUGUUUGGCACCUCGAUGUCGGCUCAUCACAUCCUGGGGCUGAAGUAGGUCCCAAGGGUAUGGCUGUUCGCCAUUUAAAGUGGUACGCGAGCUGGGUUUAGAACGUCGUGAGACAGUUCGGUCCCUAUCUGCCGUGGGCGCUGGAGAACUGAGGGGGGCUGCUCCUAGUACGAGAGGACCGGAGUGGACGCAUCACUGGUGUUCGGGUUGUCAUGCCAAUGGCACUGCCCGGUAGCUAAAUGCGGAAGAGAUAAGUGCUGAAAGCAUCUAAGCACGAAACUUGCCCCGAGAUGAGUUCUCCCUGACUCCUUGAGAGUCCUGAAGGAACGUUGAAGACGACGACGUUGAUAGGCCGGGUGUGUAAGCGCAGCGAUGCGUUGAGCUAACCGGUACUAAUGAACCGUGAGGCUUAACCUU